rnacentral:rRNA from 1 species
UACGGGGGGAGCAAGCGUUGUUCGGAUUUACUGGGCGUAAAGGGCGCGUAGGCGGUCAGCACAAGUCAGUUGUGAAAUCUCCGAGCUUAACUCGGAAAGGUCAACUGAUACUGUGCGACUAGAGUGCAGAAGGGGCAACUGGAAUUCUUGGUGUAGCGGUGAAAUGCGUAGAUAUCAAGAGGGAACACCCUGGCGGCGAAAGGCGGGUUGCUGGGCUGACACUGACGCUGAAGCGCGAAAGCCAGGGGAGCGAACGGG